rnacentral:rRNA from 1 species
UGCAAGCGUUAUUCGGAUUCACUGGGCGUAAAGGGUGCGCAGGCGGCCAAGUGUGUGAGGCGUGAAAGCCUGGAGCUUAACUCCAGAAUUGCACCUCAAACUACUUGGCUAGAGCAUUGGAGAGGGUAGCAGAAUUCAUGGUGUAGCAGUGAAAUGCGUAGAUAUCGGGAGGAACACCGGUGGCGAAGGCGGCGGCCUGGGUUGACACUGACGCUGAGGCGCGAAAGCGUGGGGAGCAAACAGG